GUGCUGGCUUCAGCAGCACAUAUACUAAAAUUGGAACGAUACAGAGAUUAGCAUGGUCCCUGUGCAAGGAUGACAUGCAAAUUUGUGAAGUGUUCCAUAUUUUU